rnacentral:rRNA from 1 species
UACGAAGGGGGGCUAGCGUUGCUCGGAAUGACUGGGCGUAAAGGGCGCGUAGGCGGCUCAUACAGUCAGAUGUGAAAUUCCUGGGCUUAACCUGGGGGCUGCAUUUGAUACGUGUGGGCUUGAGUCGGGAAGAGGGUCGUGGAAUUCCCAGUGUAGACGGUGAAAUUGUGAUGAGAUUGGUAGGAAGAACCGCGGGUGGAGAAGGCC